AGCUCUCAAAACUCAACCCUAAACUUCAAGAAAUUCACCAAAUUGAAGGGUGAAUCAGAGCCAAAUCGUAUGCAUGAACACAUAAAAACAAUCACCAAGCUUAUGGGAUCAUAAGUUUGACGCUUAACGAGCUAGGUGGAGGCUUGAGAAAGAAGCGGUUAAACGAAUCAAGCGCGUGAAGAAAGGCGUAAACCGGAUGAGAGGAUCAAUUGGCGAAUCGGAUAAAUGCGUCGCCAUAGAUUGAGUGACAAUUAAAGCAAGGUACAAAACCGGGUCUAUUUGUUGUCCCGAGCCAGGUACGUAUAA